CGAAUUGCUUUCGACGCUGCAAGGUGUCUUAGCAACAAUUCAUUUUGUUUAUUUAUUUACUGAAAAGCAGAAAAAGCGGUUGCAUUUGCUAUUAGCUUCGAUUUUAAAAAAUUCUAAUAAUAUUUCAUUUCCAGGACAUUUUCCAAUAUCUAUUCAGAAGCGGAGGCUUUGAACGAGUUUUACCAACUAAUUGAUGCAUUUAUGUGGAUGACCGUCUAAUCUGACCAGAAAUGUGGAUUUAAAAUGUUUUCGACACUGGACUUUGAUAUCUAGGCUUCCCAUGUCCAACUUUACUGCAUUCUCAAUCCGUUUGUCAGGCAAUCCGUUUGACCAAGGCUUAUGAAAGUAUCGGCAUAUGAUUCCUGUCUAAUGAGCAAUAACACAUUCCAGAAGCUGAAUUUCAAAAUAUGUUGUAUGGUGGACUUCUAGUGCGAAGGUUUUUCUAUACAACUUUGCCUAAUGGUUCGUUAUUAGAAUUCAACUAAUAACGGAGUUAGAGCAUUGACGAAUACAUAGACGGAGGGGUGGCCAUUUUUUCGGGCACCACUAUAUACCCCUGGGGAGUGACGGAUUACAAUUAUUACAAUCACUCGACCAUUGAGAAGCCCCUCAAUUCUAAUCACGUCAGUUUGACAUCAGUUGUCAUUUCCAUGGACUGUCGUUUUCGUUUGCGUGUUUUUGAUGGCAAAAAAUUGGGGAAGUUUUUUCAUUUUCAGUAUGUUUUUGUUGCAGAAUUGUCGGAUGACCGUAAAAUGUGAUCGAUAUAUAUACCGUUGAACGAGGAACGUCUACCGAACCUUCUGAUGACGAAUCAUCCGGUUCGCACUUCCACUGCAGAAUCACACAGUCAAGAAGUUGUGGUGCUUCACUGGGAAAUCCUGCCGAAGACUUUACCAUAUGGUGUUUGGCUGCAGGAGAUGAUUGCAAGCAAGCCGGAAACUCCUGGAAUUUAUGAUCCCAGCUAUUCGAGCUUUUCUUAAACACCACCAUUCGUAUGUUAGAAGGAAUACCGUGCUCUAUCUACAAAUACUUCGGGUAGGACCUACCACCCAGACGAGCCGUAAUUGAUUGCAAACUUUUUGGGUACGGAGCAGAAUGUGUUUUAUUUCGCUUGCAUUAAUGCAUUUCAAUGUUACACGCCGAUCAGAAAAAAACAUUGAUCUAUUUAUCUUCAUGUCUUGAUGGUUUGUACUUUAGAAGAAUGCUUCCAAGACUCACAAUGGCAAUGGAGGCAACGGAAAGUAUCCUUAACUCCUGGUCGGAACUCUUCCCUGUUGUUACAUCAAAUUUCACUGCAACUGUAAUAUCUAGAAACUCAGAAGUUUUCCCAGCUGCCAAUUCUCUAAAAAUUCAACGAGCAGCACUCUGGAUCCAUGAAGAGUACACAACAUCGUCGAGGGAUAUCAUGGAUGCGAUUGUCGUCUAACCCUGGAUGGUACCUCGAAAUACUCAUUGUCGAUGCCGAGCGGAGGCGACUGGCCGGCAAUGAAAAGGGGAAUAAAAGAGGGCCUGGCGCUUCGAAACAACAAAGUCACGUCGGAUGGAACGUAGCAGAGCGCUUUCAGUAUUGCUCCGUAAGUACCCUGGACGCUGAAAGUUUCGCCGACGACAACAAGAAGCUGAAGGAACAUGUCGAUGCAUGAAUGGAAUUGAAAAUGUAUGUUUAAAGUCUCAAGAACCUGCUCGAAGACUAGGAAUUACUGGGUGACCGUCAAUAUGAUCGGUGAUGCUAAUACGGAGGGAGCCAUCGACGAGAAGAUCAAAUGGCUUGAAGAAAACCAGGAUGCCGACUCCGAAGACUGUAAGAAGCAGAAGAAGGAACUUGAAGACGUUUUGCAACCCAUAAUAUCCAAGCUCUAUGCCACCACUGGCGGCUCUCCUCAACCUACUGGCGAUGACGAGGAUCUCAAGGAUGAGCAGUAAAACUCGUGUUUGUUAUAGCACUAUUUAUAGUGUAGCAUAAUUUCCAUUUUUCCGUUUCCUGAUCGGUAUAGGUAAUUUUCAUCACUCGAUCUAAACUGGUAAGAGCCAGUUGAAAGACUUAGUUGAUCACUAACUGUUCAGACCAAUAGAACAGGAAAAGAGUUUAUUAGAGUGUGUUUACGAGCGAGAGAAUACGAGAUCGAGUGUUUAAAGUACUGUGCGGAUCAGGCAGUCUCAUUCCAUUUUUCAGAUGAAUACAAAAGGAAAUAAAAUCAAAUGGCAAAACAGUUUUUUCGCACUUGUAGACAAGUUUGAUGGCUGAUGCUAUAAUAGGUUUUAAUAAUUCGAAAAAGUUUUUGCCUCUCUUUUAUCUUUGUUCGUUAUCUAAUAAUAGUGAUUUCUGCAAACC